rnacentral:rRNA from 1 species
AANCGACUGCUAAUACCGGAUAUGCUAAACAGUAAAAGAUUUAUUGCCUGGAGAUGAGCUCGCGUUGGAUUAGCUAGUUGGUGGGGUAAGAGCCUACCAAGGCGACGAUCUAUAGCUGGUCUGAGAGGACGAUCAGCCACACUGGGACUGARACACGGCCCAGACUCCUACGGGAGGCAGCAGUGGGGAAUUUUCCGCAAUGGGCGAAAGCCUGACGGAGCAAUACCGCGUGAGGGAGGAAGGCUCUUGGGUUGUAAACCUCUUUUCUCAAGGAAGAAAACAAUGACGGUACUUGAGGAAUAAGCAUCGGCUAACUCCGUGCCAGCAGCCGCGGUAAUACGGAGGAUGCAAGCGUUAUCCGGAAUGAUUGGGCGUAAAGCGUCCGCAGGUGGUUGUGCAAGUCUGCUGUUAAAGAGUGGAGCUUAACUCCAUAAAGGCGGUGGAAACUGCGUGACUAGAGUGCGUUCGGGGUAGAGGGAAUUCCUGGUGUAGCGGUGAAAUGCGUAGAUAUCAGGAAGAACACCGGUGGCGAAGGCGCUCUACUAGGCCGUAACUGACACUGAGGGACGAAAGCUAAGGGAGCGAAUGGGAUUA